rnacentral:tRNA from 1 species
AGGCCGGUAGCUCUAACGGCAGAGCAGCAGACUCCAAAUCUGAUGGUUGGGGGUUCAAAUCCCUCUCGGCCUGCCA